UACGUAGGGGGCAAGCGUUGUCCGGAAUCAUUGGGCGUAAAGAGCGCGUAGGCGGCCCUGUAAGUCCGCUGUGAAAGUCAAGGGCUCAACCCUUGAAUGCCGGUGGAUACUGCAGGGCUAGAGUCCGGAAGAGGCGAGUGGAAUUCCUGGUGUAGCGGUGAAAUGCGCAGAUAUCAGGAGGAACACCGAUGGCGAAGGCAGCUCGCUGGGACGGUACUGACGCUGAGGAGCGAAAGUGUGGGGAGCGAACAGG
rnacentral:rRNA from 1 species